rnacentral:rRNA from 1 species
CCCUUAGAUGUUCUGGGCCGCACGCGCGCUACACUGACGAAUGCAACGAGCUUAUAACCUUGGCCGAAAGGUCUGGGUAAUCUCCAAAUUUCGUCGUGAUGGGGAUAGAUUAUUGCAAUUAUUAAUCUUCAACGAGGAAUGCCUAGUAAGCGCAAGUCAUCAGCUUGCGUUGAUUACGUCCCUGUCCUUUGUACACACCGCCCGUCGCUCCUACCGAUUGAAUGGUCCGGUGAAGCGCUCGGACCGCGGCCUCUUGACGGUUUUCCGUCGAUUGGCUGUGGGAAGUUCGUUAAACCUUAUCAUUUAGAGGAAGGAGAAGUCGUAACA